rnacentral:rRNA from 1 species
UUUGGGAAUGCUGCUCAAAAUGGGAGGUAAACCCCUUCUAAAGCUAAAUACUGGCCAGAGACCGAUAGCGCACAAGUAGAGUGAUCGAAAGAUGAAAAGCACUUUGAAAAGAGAGUUAAAAAGCACGUGAAAUUGUUAAAAGGGAAGCGCUUGCGACCAGACUUGCGCCCGUCGGAUCAACCGUCGCUUGCGGCGGCGCACUCCGGCGGGCUCAGGCCAGCAUCAGUUCGUCCGGGGGGAGAAAGGCGGCGGGAAUGUGGCUCUUCGGAGUGUUAUAGCCCGCCGUGUAAUACCCUCGGGUGGACUGAGGACCGCGCGUAUGCAAGGAUGCUGGCGUAAUGGUCGUCAGCGACCCGUCUUG